UACGAAGGGUGCAAGCGUUACUCGGAAUUACUGGGCGUAAAGCGUGCGUAGGUGGUUUGUUAAGUCUGAUGUGAAAGCCCUGGGCUCAACCUGGGAAUUGCAUUGGAUACUGGCAGGCUAGAGUGCGGUAGAGGAUGGCGGAAUUCCUGGUGUAGCGGUGGAAUGCGCAGAUAUCAGGAGGAACACCAAUAGCGAAGGCAGCUCGCUGGGACGGUACUGACGCUAAGGCGCGAAAGCGUGGGGAGCGAACAGG
rnacentral:rRNA from 1 species